rnacentral:rRNA from 1 species
UACGUAGGGCGCAAGCGUAUCCGGAAUUAUUGGGCGUAAAGAGCUCGUAGGCGGUUUGUCGCGUCUGCCGUGAAAGUCCGGGGCUCAACUCCGGAUCUGCGGUGGGUACGGGCAGACUAGAGUGAUGUAGGGGAGACUGGAAUUCCUGGUGUAGCGGUGAAAUGCGCAGAUAUCAGGAGGAACACCGGUGGCGAAGGCGGGUCUCUGGGCCGAAACUGACGCUGAGGAGCGAAAGCGUGGGGAGCAACAGG